GUGCCAGCAGCGGCGGUAAUACGGAGGGUGCAAGCGUUAAUCGGAAUUACUGGGCGUAAAGCGCACGCAGGCGGUCUGUCAAGUCGGAUGUGAAAUCCCCGGGCUCAACCUGGGAACUGCAUUCGAAACUGGCAGGCUAGAGUCUUGUAGAGGGGGGUAGAAUUCCAGGUGUAGCGGUGAAAUGCGUAGAGAUCUGGAGGAAUACCGGUGGCGAAGGCGGCCCCUGGACAAAGACUGACGCUCAGGUGCGAAAGCGUGGGGAGCAAACAGGAUUAGAUACCCUGGUAGUUCACGCCGUAAACGAUGUCGAUUUGGAGGUUGUGCCCUUGAGGCGUGGCUUCCGGAGCUAACGCGUUAAAUCGACCGCCUGGGGAGUACGGCCGCAAGGUUAAACUCAAAUGAAUUGACGGGGGCCCGCACAAGCGGUGGAGCAUGUGGUUUAAUUCGAUGCAACGCGAAGAACCUUACCUGGUACUUGACAUCCACAGAACUUUCCAGAAAUGGAUUGGUGCCUUCGGGAACUGUGAGACAGGUG
rnacentral:rRNA from 1 species